GAAAUGCGAUAAGUAAUGUGAAUUGCAGAAUUCAGUGAAUCAUCGAAUCUUUGAACGCACAUUGCGCCCCUUGGUAUUCCGAGGGGCAUGCCUGUUCGAGCGUCAUUUCAACCCCUCAAGCUUCGGCUUGGUGUUGGGCCGCGCCGCUGCACCAGCAGCUGGCGGGCCUCAAAAUCAGUGGCGGUGCCGUCUCGGCUCUAAGCGUAGUAACAUCUCUCGCUCUGGAGACCUGGCGGUGGCUUGCCAGACAACCCCCAACUUUCUUUAAGGUUUGACCUCGGAUCAGGUAGGGAUACCCGCUGAACUUAA
rnacentral:misc_RNA from 1 species